CCGGCGCACGGGUGAGUAACGCGUAUGCAACCUGCCCGUUUCAGCGGGAUAACCCGGAGAAAUCCGGCCUAAUACCGCAUGUGGCCGAGGGGAGGCAUCUUCUUUCGGCCAAAGGAGGCGACUCCGGAGACGGAUGGGCAUGCGUGACAUUAGCUAGUUGGCGGGGUAACGGCCCACCAAGGCGACGAUGUCUAGGGGUUCUGAGAGGAAGGUCCCCCACACUGGUACUGAGACACGGCCCAGACUCCUACGGAAGGCAGCAG
rnacentral:rRNA from 1 species